rnacentral:tmRNA from 1 species
GGCGCAACUGGUUUCGACGGGGAUGUCGAAACGGGACGUUGCAUGCCGGGGGCCCGUACCCCGUAGCAAACGGGAAACUAAUAGUCGCCAACGACUACAACUACGCCCUGGCUGCUUAAUGCGGCCAGCGUCUCUUGGCGUUUUUGCCUGUGGGGCUCUUUGAGACGUACACACACGCAGGCUGGCCGUUUGCGGCCGGUUUUCCCGCAAGCGGUGAGAUUCAGAAAGCCUGGUUCCGGAAAAUCCUGCCUGUCGGAGUUUCCGGAAUAAGAUUCAGUAGAUAGGACAAGCAUGUAGGAGCUUCCCGUCUAGUAUCUUCGGACGCGGGUUCGACUCCCGCCGCCUCCACCA